AUUGAACGCUGGCGGCAUGCCUUACACAUGCAAGUCGAACGGCAGCACGGGAGCGAUCCUGGUGGCGAGUGGCGAACGGGUGAGUAAUACAUCGGAACGUGCCCAGUAGUGGGGGAUAACCCGGCGAAAGCCGGACUAAUACCGCAUACGACCUACGGGUGAAAGCGGGGAUCGCAAGACCUCGCGCUAUCGGAGCGGCCGAUGUCAGAUUAGCUAGUUGGUGGGGUAAAGGCCUACCAAGGCGACGAUCUGUAGCUGGUCUGAGAGGACGACCAGCCACACUGGGACUGAGACACGGCCCAGACUCCUACGGGAGGCAGCAGUGGGGAAUUUUGGACAAUGGGCGCAAGCCUGAUCCAGCCAUGCCGCGUGCGGGAAGAAGGCC
rnacentral:rRNA from 1 species